AAUACCGAGUGUCGUAGGCGU
rnacentral:miRNA from 1 species